CAACAGUUGAUUGAUUUCAAAACCUGUUAAGCCAGAUAAGUUUUCCCUCUCUUUUGCAUUGUGUUCUGGACAGUCAAAGUGUCAGCAGUCAGUUUUUGCUUGAGCUGCAGAGUUUUAUUUCUUCAUGUGUAUUUCUUAUCAGUUUUAACCAUCACCACAGUUAGUGAGAAAAGAGAGAGGCGGACAGACAGGUGUAAAAGCCCAAACCACAUUUGGGCUUUAAAAGUCUUGAGCCAACCUAAAGGGAAUAUUGUAAUCCUUCAGUAUGACAUCAUGAACAGUUUCUAAUGAACACUAUUAUGAAAUUGAAUAUAUUAUUGAAAGAAACA